UUAGUGGCGGACGGGUGAGUAACGCGUGGGCAACCUGCCCUAUACAGGGGGAUAACAACCAGAAAUGGUUGCUAAUACCGCAUAAGCGCACAGGACCGCAUGGUCCGGUGUGAAAAACUCCGGUGGUAUAGGAUGGACCCGCGUUGGAUUAGCCAGUUGGCAGGGUAACGGCCUACCAAAGCGACGAUCCAUAGCCGGCCUGAGAGGGUGAACGGCCACAUUGGGACUGAGACACGGCCCAG
rnacentral:rRNA from 1 species